GAGAAGAGAAGAGAGAACACAGCCUUGAGGCUGAAGGAAAAAAAUAAGGUGCAGUUCUUCUUCUACAAUGCUGCGAAAAUGAAGAGACCAAAGACAGCCAAUGAGCCAUCUGAUGUCCUCUUUUGUGAAAUAUUUCCGCCAUGCUUUUGACCAAUUCUCUUGAUCCUCAUAUGCCUUCAUCAAAUGGGUGGUCAUCCUUCAAUCAAAUGGGAAAUGGGUACAGAGCCUGCAUUGCUGUUGCUGUACAUAUAAUAUUUAAAACAUUGUACAUUGUACAUUUAUGAUGAUCAUGGGUCAAGGAAAGCUGUUGAUGACAUCAUUACAAAAGGUUUACAAUGAAAAGUUUUGCAGCAGCCCUUGUUCAGGUCAUGGAACGACAAGUGAGGAUGCAAUCACAUGUUGGCUGCUACAGACUUCUCCGGUGGUCAUGUAUCCCUUUCAGUAAACGCAUGUUUGCUUCAGUCUCGAAGAAUGCGUUGUGUAAAGUUGCCACAGUGCAGGCAUGCAUCAUUAAUUCAUGUUGUUUACUGCAGCCUGCAGGAUGAUGCAUUUUCAGAGCGUUUAGUCAAGGAAAUGAGGAGGAGAAGCUUGCAAUUUUUUCAGCUUUGGGUUUGUGGGCAGCAAGAUCUGCUGAUGCUAUUCAAUCAGAUGUAGUUUUGUUUUUCUCAUCUGGUCUUAAGGAGAAGGAAGCUCUAAGAAGAGGGCAUCUUCGUUGUCUACGAGCCAUUUGCAAAAACAGUACAGAUGCUGUUUUCCGAGUUAGCUGGUUGACUUGGCUGUGGUUUGGUGCACUUGUUCUUGACCAGGCUACUUCUUUCAUCUCUUUGGUGACAUUUGCUUUUUUUCACUUAAGAUAUCAUCAUUACUGGAACCUCUCAUCCAACUUGUCAAAACUGGUUUUACAAAAGCAGCUCAGCGUUUGGAUGAUAUAUAUGCCUUGCUAUUAGUUGUCAUGAAGAUUGCAGCUGUUGACAUCA